rnacentral:lncRNA from 1 species
CCCAGGCUAGGGGUCAAAUCAGAGCCACAGCUGCCAGCCUACACCACAGCCACAGCCACAGCCACAGCAAUGCCAGAUCCCUGACCCACUGGGUGAGGCCAGGGAUCAAACCCACAUCAUCAUGGUUACUAGUCGGAUUCAUUUCCACUGUGCCACAAUGGGAAAUUUGAAAUCUAGGCUAUGAAAAGCCAAAUCAAGCUCAUUUUGUCAAAAUCUGGAGGUGUGGAUUUUUCAGCAUAUUUCCCAAUGCUGAGCCCAGCAAGCAGGAGAGCUGAUCACAAUGUAUCCCUUUCCCUUGAAAAGACCAUCCAGCCUGUCUUUUAAGAUUCCUUUAUUCCCCGACCAAAAUCUGCUGAAAAUCUCUCACUUCUAAACAAUGGUUAAGGGAUUUAUGUUCUAUCAGUGAUUAUUUUCACAGUGACAUCUUCACCAGCAAGUCACUAACAAAAAGUCCAGAAAGGGGUGUUUAGAAUGUAUCAAAUAUCACAAUGUAAUGUGCCAUUGAAAGAACAGGCACUCAGAGGAGAUUUUACUCAGCUACUUUACUCAUACUGCACUUCACAUUUGUCUGAAAAGUUAACUAGACUAGAAGUGUAGUAUAUAUUUUUCUUUUCUUCUUGAGCAAUAAAAGAAAGAUGCAAUCACAGACUAUUUAUAACACUGUUGCUCUUUGGGCCUUUCCUAAAAAAUAUACUACAAUAACUACACAUGACUAGAAUAUGUAUCACCUCCCUUCUCUCUCUCGCCCACAUCUAUCUAUCUAUUGAAAGACACCAGUGGAGGUUCAGAGAGCAUAGCCAAUGAGGAAAGCAGGGUCUCUAGGUAAAAUUAGUUUAAUAAGAGCUGAAUACAUGUAUUGGACGAUCAUCUUCUUAAUAUUCAUGUAUUAUAAGUUGUUCAGGUAAAACUUGAAUUCCUUAGACACCAAAACUCUUGGGAACACUAAUUCAGUAGGAUAAUACUCUAAAUGGCAUGUUUUGGUGAGCUUUUUAAAAACAUAAAGCUAAUGAUAUCAUUCUUUAAUGCUAUCAAGAAAAUGAUAUCUGAUCAAAUUAUGACUAAAGUAGAAUUUAAGAUAAAUUUUCUGGAGUUCCCAUUGUGGCUUAGUGGGUCAAGAACCCAAGUAGUAUCCACGAGGAUGUGGGUUCAAUCCCUGGCCUUGCUCAGUGGGUUAAGGAUCUGGCUUUGCUGUGAGCUGUGGUGUAGGUCGCAGAUGUGACUCGGAUCCCACAUUGCUGUGGCUCUGGCAUAGGCUGAGUGCUACAGCUCUGAUUUCACCCCUAGCCUGGGAACCUCCACAUGCCCUGGGAGUACCCCAAGAAAUGGCAAACACACACACACACAAAAUUAAAGAUAAAUUUUCUAGGGGUACUUGCUAGUUGCAAGGAACAGUUAAAUCAGUGAGUCUCUUUUUGUUUUGAUGACCAGCCCUGAUGAUGCCAUAUUUUGAAGGCAGGCACCAGGAGCCAAAGCCCAUCUACAUCAGCUUGAGAGUAAAAGUUGGCUGAUCUAAUUCAACAGGUUUUACUGCUCCCAAUUCACAUGAGGUAAAUGUUUUUGGAGCGAAUCUCACUUUUCCUGAUUUUAAUGUCUUAGCUUGUAAGAACAUCAAUUACUCUUAACCGUCUUGUUAUUACUCCUCCCCAUAAUUCAUUCCUUCCCAAGGAAGUACAUUUUCCCUUGGGUAAAUUUGGGGAUAGAUCCAGGAUUGCCAAGCAGAACUGUCUCCUCCUGUCUCUUGGGUAUCUGUCUGCCCAUGGAGAGCACAUUCUCUGGUAAGCGCCAGGUACAGGGACUGUUCAGUGGACAAGGCUUUGCUCUUGCCCAGAGGUCUGAGAGUUGUCAGGUUCUGCCUUGGAUUAGUCUUUUUAUGAGGGUCGGCACUGGGAAAUACAUGUUGCUCACACACGUAAACCCAUUCUUCAGCAUAUCUAAAGCAAUGAAACUGACUUCCCUCCACAUUCCCCAUCUCUCUGUCUUUUGUUUACCUAUCAAUUUGUUGAGAACUUAUGUGAAGAAAAAGAAAUAUUUUUCUAUUGACCUUCUCAAGUGCCAAUAAAUAUGCUACCUUAAAACCAAGCUGUAAAAUAGAGAUUGCCCCAGAAAGAAGAAAUUUGAGCUCUUAAAAUACUAUUCAAGGUAACAUUUUAAACAAGACUAUUACUGGGAGUUCCAACUGUGGCUCAGUGGAAAUAAAUCUGAGUAGUAUCCAUGAGGACAUAUUUCUAUCCCUAGCCUUGCUCAUUGGGUUAAGGAUCCAGUGCUGCCAUGAGCUAUGGUCACAAAAGCAGCUCAGGUCUGGCAUUGCUGUGGCUAUGCUAUAAGCCAGCGGCUACAGCUCCAAUUCAACCCCUAGCCUUGGAACCUCCAUUUGCCAUGGGUGCAGCCCAAAGAAAAAAGGAAAGAAAAGGAAAGAAAAGAAAAGAAAAGAAAUAAACAAGACUUACACUUUUAGAUGAAAUCAUGGAAAUAAAAAAAAAAAUGAGCUAUUUAUGAAGGAGAUGAUAAUUCAAGUUGGAAUGAUCUCCAAGAUGAUGAUGUCUGUAAUUCUGCUUGCCUGCUCACUAUAAUAACUUUCAGAUUUUUUUUUCUUGAAAAGAAAUUUUCUCUACUUAUAAGGAUGCUUUCACAGAAGGGAUGUUUUCAGGUGUUAAAUGGACAUAUAAGCAAUGAGAGCAGAUGACAGAGAAACUCUGGGAAACCUGAUUUGUUAUAGUCUUAUUUAUAAUGUCAGGUUCUCACGAUCUACCAUUAACCCUGUUUCCAAGAUUAGAUUCUACCUGAAUCUAGACUUACCAGAGUAAAUCAGAUUUGAAACCAAAAUUCCAAGUCUGUUUAUUUUUUAUCCAUUCACUUUUAACCAGAUAUGUCUCCAAAAUAAAGGGGCAGGUGGACCAAUUGCUGACUUGCUUGCGUGGCAGAGCACAUUCUGCAAUUAUCUUACAGACAUGACCUACAUUCUAGCAAUACUGAGGAAACAAUGACUAUGAAAAGAGGUAUUAGUUGAGAAAACACGUCUUGAAAUUUUCUUGCAAUUCAUAAAUAGUUUAAUAUUUUCACAAUGUUCAAAAUACCUUGAUCUCUCAAGGAAAGAUUUGACAUAAACAUGAACAAUCAUAGUAAUACUAAUAAUGGCAAUAAUGGGACAAAAAUUUGAGCAUUAUUGAAAGACAAAAUUACUAGAUAAAUUUUGUAUUUUUAUAAGAAUUAUAUCUUCUUUUAAAGUAUGUCACUAGAUGAAAAUCUGGCUUAAGGUCUAGACUCAACAAUAUAUACCUGUUAAAUAACCAAAGACUUUGAACAAGAUCUCAUAUGAACUAUUUUACAUUGGACAUAUAUGUCAUAUGUAAAUGAUUUAAAAUAGUAUUAACAUAUUAUACUCAAUAUUUAUAAAUUAUUAAUCUGAAAUAAACAGUCUACAUACUAAUUGGUAAUUCUGGGUUUCUGUAGGAAAAUUAUUUAUGCAUAGUUAUUCAAUAUAUAUAAUGUGAGGAAUUUUAUUGCAUACAGAGAAAGAACUGAAUAAUUAUGACAAGGGAAGGGAGAUGUUGACAAGAAAUUACAUAUAAACUAAAUCAUAAAAGAUAAGUUAAUUUAUCCUAGUUGAAUAAUUUCAGUGGGAAAGUGUCCUUUGAAUAGCAGUGAAAAAGUGAGAGACAAGUCAUCUCACAUAUAAGGUCAUGGUCAAAGACAUGGGUACAUGAACUGUCAGUGACUCUUAGGAAAGUAGAAAAUAGGUCAUGAUGUGAGACUAUAGAUUUUGGUCUAGAAGAAAUAGAAGCUCAUAAAUGUUUUCUCAUAUCAGCAGUGACAUGACCAAAUCUACACUUUAGGUACAUAGCAAUAGUAGUGGAAUGACAAUUAUGAAAAAUAUUGAAUAUAAUCUUGAUUGCAUGACUUACAAUCUGGUGAUAGGCCUAAAAUUAGUAAAUAAAAAAGACAGUCAGAGAGAUUAAAAAGCUUUUAUAAUCAGUCAUCCAAGAGAUAAUAAAAGCCUACUGCUAUUGAAAGUGGCAAAGAAAGGAAUAUGUUAAAGAGACAUUUUAAGGAAGAAUCAAUACAAUAUUGAUUGGAUUAUUACAUCCAAGGGAGAAAAUCAAAGGUAACAUAUGAUUAUAAAUUACCUAAUUGAAUUGACAGAACAUUGUAAAUCAACUAUAAUAGAAAGAAUAAAAAUAUUACAAAAAAAUUACCUAAUUGAGGAUGUAAAUAAUAGGCAUGAUGGUCUCUGGGGAGCUAAAUUAAUCAGUGGUUUUAAAAGUUCUUUAAAAGAUAUUUUUAAUAUUUUCAGGUAACUUUCUUAAUGCUUAUAUCCCAUCAUCCAUUACCAUUUAGAACAAAUUUACAUGUUCUUACUUUUCCAACAUGAAAAUUUGUUUUUGUUCCAUGAAAAACAAAGUUUAUAUUUCCUAAGGAAAAUGAAGCAAACAUUUGCAUUUAUAAUCUUUGACAACCCGUGAAAAUAAUAACUAUUGUAACAGCAAUACUUACAUGACAUUUUUGUGUUAAGGCAUGUUCUAUUAUAAGAUUUGUAUAUAUUAAUAGGCUUACUUUUCAAAAUAACCCUAUAAGCCCCAUUUACAGAUAGAUGAAGAAACUGAGGCACAGAAUAUGGUUCAGUAACAAAUAACUUGCCCAAGACCUGAGAGCUAGUAUGUGGCAGAGUGAAUAUUUGAACACAGGUAAUCUGGCUCCAAUGUUCCUUUCUUAAUCACUAUAACUUGCUAGGCUUUAGCAUUUCACCUGAAUAACCUCCAAAAUGUUCUAUUCAUCACAAUUCUAAGCAUCCUAAAAUAUGUGAAAGGCAACACCGUCCCUGGUCUCAAAAACAGCUGAUAGAAAAUGUAAUAGAAAAAGUAUUAUAUAUAACAGCAAUAAACUUGGAAGAUACACAAGGCUAAUGAGAAACAUGCAAAAAAUGUAGAAAAUUAUAAAAUAUUAAUACAAAAUAUAAAAGAAGAAUCAAAUAACUAGGCAUAUACACCAUGUUUAUAGAAAAAAAUGCAAUAAACCCAAUAUUUUAAAAUGCCCAUUUUCCCACAAUAAAUCUAUAAAUUGCAUUCAGUGGAAAUAAAAAUUGUAGAAGAAAUGUUUACAGAACUUGAAAGACAGAUACUAAAAUGCAAAAAGUUGAAUCAUGACACAAGGAAUUACCAACGCAAUUCUAAAAACUAAAAAUAAAAUGG